rnacentral:rRNA from 1 species
GACGAACGCUGGCGGCGUGCUUAACACAUGCAAGUCGAACGGAAAGGCCCUGCUUUUGUGGGGUGCUCGAGUGGCGAACGGGUGAGUAACACGUGAGUAACCUGCCCUUGACUUUGGGAUAACUUCAGGAAACUGGGGCUAAUACCGGAUAGGAGCUCCUGCUGCAUGGUGGGGGUUGGAAAGUUUCGGCGGUUGGGGAUGGACUCGCGGCUUAUCAGCUUGUUGGUGGGGUAGUGGCUUACCAAGGCUUUGACGGGUAGCCGGCCUGAGAGGGUGACCGGCCACAUUGGGACUGAGAUACGGCCCAGACUCCUACGGGAGGCAGCAGUGGGGAAUAUUGCACAAUGGGCGGAAGCCUGAUGCAGCAACGCCGCGUGCGGGAUGACGGCCUUCGGGUUGUAAACCGCUUUCGCCUGUGACGAAGCGUGAGUGACGGUAAUGGGUAAAGAAGCACCGGCUAACUACGUGCCAGCAGCCGCGGUGAUACGUAGGGUGCGAGCGUUGUCCGGAUUUAUUGGGCGUAAAGGGCUCGUAGGUGGUUGAUCGCGUCGGAAGUGUAAUCUUGGGGCUUAACCCUGAGCGUGCUUUCGAUACGGGUUGACUUGAGGAAGGUAGGGGAGAAUGGAAUUCCUGGUGGAGCGGUGGAAUGCGCAGAUAUCAGGAGGAACACCAGUGGCGAAGGCGGUUCUCUGGGCCUUUCCUGACGCUGAGGAGCGAAAGCGUGGGGAGCGAACAGGCUUAGAUACCCUGGUAGUCCACGCUGUAAACGGUGGGUACUAGGUGUGGGGUCCAUUCCACGGGUUCCGUGCCGUAGCUAACGCUUUAAGUACCCCGCCUGGGGAGUACGGCCGCAAGGCUAAAACUCAAAGGAAUUGACGAGGCCCCGCACAAGCGGCGGAGCAUGCGGAUUAAUUCGAUGCAACGCGUAGAACCUUACCUGGGUUUGACAUGGAUCGGGAGUGCUCAGAGAUGGGUGUGCCUCUUUUGGGGUCGGUUCACAGGUGGUGCAUGGCUGUCGUCAGCUCGUGUCGUGAGAUGUUGGGUUAAGUCCCGCAACGAGCGCAACCCUUGUUCACUGUUGCCAGCACGUUAUGGUGGGGACUCAGUGGAGACCGCCGGGGUCAACUCGGAGGAAGGUGGGGAUGACGUCAAGUCAUCAUGCCCCUUAUGUCCAGGGCUUCACGCAUGCUACAAUGGCUGGUACAGAGAGUGGCGAGCCUGUGAGGGUGAGCGAAUCUCGGAAAGCCGGUCUCAGUUCGGAUUGGGGUCUGCAACUCGACCUCAUGAAGUCGGAGUCGCUAGUAAUCGCAGAUCAGCAACGCUGCGGUGAAUACGUUCCCGGGGCU